UUUUGCAACAUUGCUGAGCAUGCGUAGAACUCACGUUGGAAAUUCAACGUGAUCAAUUCGAUUUCUCCAGAGCUAUGCCCACCCUUAACCUGCGAACGGGCAUGCUCGGGGAACGAGAUUGGUAAGCAAUCGGGUUUGCGAUCAUUCUCGAGCAUGCGUACUAACUUUUGGCGCCAUUAUCGAACGUUAGCCGUUGGGAUUUGCUUCGACGAGGGAUACGGAUAAAAUACAAGCGUAAAACCUCGUUUGUUGCAGUAUA